rnacentral:sRNA from 1 species
CUAUCAGCUCUGGAGACUAAAGUCUUCUAUUUAUCCACAAAACGGGGUACAGCAUGGGCAGUAGGACUGCAAAGUCUUCUUCACUGCCCUGCCAAUAUAGUAAUUCUGGCAUGGUGAGGCCAUUAGAAACAUGAUGGGUUAGUGUUUAUGUCCAUAUAAUUCUUGGCCUCU